CCAAUAGCGUAUAUUAAAGUUGUUGCAGUUAAAAAGCUCGUAGUUGAAUUUCGAGAUCAAAUUGUUGGUCGUGCCUCGGUACGUACUGGUAAUUUUGGUUUCUCCCUUCUGAAGAACCAUGAUGUCAUUAAUUUGGUGUCUUGGGGAAUCAGGACUGUUACUUUGAAAAAAUUAGAGUGUUUAAAGCAGGCUCGCGCUUG
rnacentral:rRNA from 1 species